rnacentral:rRNA from 1 species
CCUACGAGUGGCAGCAGUGAGGAAUAUUGGUCAAUGGGCGGGAGCCUGAACCAGCCAAGCCGCGUGAGGGAAGAAGGUACAGCGUAUCGUAAACCUCUUUUGUCAGGGAACAAAGGCGGGGACUAGUCCCCGGAUGCGGGUACCUUACGAAAAAGCAUCGGCUAACUCCGUGCCAGCAGCCGCGGUAAUACGGAGGAUGCGAGCGUUAUCCGGAUUUAUUGGGUUUAAAGGGUGCGCAGGCGGCCUGUUAAGUCAGCGGUAAAAGCCCGGGGCUCAACCCCGGCGAGCCGUUGAAACUGGCGGGCUGGAGUUGGAGAGAAGUACGCGGAAUGCGCGGUGUAGCGGUGAAAUGCUUAGAUAUCGCGCAGAACCCCGAUUGCGAAGGCAGCGUACCGGCUCCACACUGACGCUGAGGCACGAAAGCGUGGGUAUCGAACAGGAUUAGAUACCCCGGUAGUC